rfam:Gossypium arboreum cultivar AKA8401 contig_6009_1, whole genome shotgun sequence.
UAUUAAAAUUUCAAUCUACUUCUGUUGUUAACAAUUGACAUGGCUGACGGAAUAUAACCAGACAAUUACAAGUGACAUGCUUAGUGUACCUCAUUCUAAUGUAUAGGGACCAAAUUUUAAAAUUAUAAAUAGAUGAAAUUUUUAACA